GAUAAAUGAAUAUGUAUGAAAUGUGUACUUUGUUUGAAGGGAUGGGCAGUUGAGAUGCUUGUGCUCUUUUUCAGGAAGGACAGAGGACUUCCUCCCAGCAGUAAAGACCCCCAAGGGCCUAGUCGGAGAAGCCGCAGCCUGUCUGCCAGACCCUGGCAACAAAAUGCACUGCAAAAGCUCUCCCUCAAGCACCCCAUCACAGAGAUACAGAACACAGUCCUCAAUAUCUGUGGAAACAAGCCAGCUCAGGAUCUGAGGCGGAGUGUGUUCAACUUUGACAAGAUUCAGCAGUCGCAAGACUGUCCCUGUGAGGAUCCUGUGACACAGAUACUGGGGGAAACAACAGGUGCGUCCUUCAGUUGACAGGAAACUGCCCUGCAAAGUCUGUGUCUCUGCUUAGUUCAUGUCUGGAUCAGUUCAAUGCGGGGACCACCACAGUGGCUCUGAAACUAUUACAUUCUUCUCAUGCAGGCACCUCCAGCACCGCCUGUACCUCUGACACCCCCAGCACCUACAGUCCUUUCAGCUCCUUCAGUUUCUUCAGUUACAAACGAGGAAGCGCCCAGCGUACCGUAGCCAACUCCAUGGGCACAGAGACCUUCUGCAGGCUGCAGGAGAAGAUUGAGCACCUCAAGGUUAUUUUAAAAGUUACUUUUACAUUACAGCCAUGGGAAGUACGUCAACUCUUGUUUCAAGAAACACAGGACGAUAUAGAGGCGCACAAGAUGCAAAACAAGUUCCUCAGCUCUGAAAUCUACAAGCUUACUAAGCUGUGGAGGAACAGUUCAGAAGAGGAGAAGGGCCUCCUGAUGAAGUGUGCCUACCUGGAGGCCAAAAACUGCCAGAUUGAGAGCAAGUACCUGGUCGUGCUGCGCAGGCUGCAGGAGAGCAAAGGGCUGGACAGCAGUCAGCAGGAGAUGGUGAAAAGGCUCAUUGAGGACGCACCGCAGGGAGACAAGAAGGAUGUCUUUAAACUCAACCCUGUCAGUGAGUACGACGACUAUGGAUUCAAGACCAUUCCUGAUUAUGAAGUAGAGGACGUGAAGCUCCUGGCCAAAAUCCAGGCCCUGGAGAUCCGUUCCAACAACCUGCGCAACAAUGAGAUGGUGGACAAGCCCUUGCGGACCAGGUGGGCUAACUACCUGGCCAGCCGUCCCUUGGACCAGCUGGCUCCCUCCCCGGAGCUGAAGGGCCUGAUCCGGUGUGGGAUCCCUGUGGAGUACCGGGAGCAGGUGUGGCGCUGGAUCGUGAGGACGCGGACGCAGGUCUAUAGGAAGCGGAAUCCCAAUCGCUACCAGGAGCUGAGGAAGCACUGCGAGGUGUCGGAGCACCCGGCCUCACGGCAGAUCAGGCAGGACCUGCACCGCACCCUCACCAGCAAUAAGCACUUCUCCUCGCCCACCUCCGACGCAGUCCAAAAGCUGCAGCGCAUUCUGGUAGCCUUCUCCUGGCAAAACCCCAAACCCCGCUACUGCCGGGCCUCAACCGGUUGGCAGCUAUUGCACUUUUAGUUCUUAAGGAGUCUGGUGGCUGUUGUUAAAAUCAUAAUGCCACAAGACUACUACAGCAAAACCCUCACUGCCUCUCAGGCUGAUCAGAGGGUGUUCCGUGACUUUCUUGCUGAGAAGAUGCCUCGCCUGACGGCCCACUUCAAGGAGCACAGCAUCGAUCAUUCCCUCAUCACCUUCAACUGGUUCCUGGUGGUCUUCGUGGAAAGUCUGGUCAGCGACAUCCUGCUCAGUGUGGGAUGCUUUCCUCUAUGAGGGCACAAAGGUGAUAUUUCGCUAUGCACUGGCCCUCUUUAAGGACAAUGAAGAGGACAUUCUAAAAAUUCACGACAAUCUGGAAAUCUACCAAUACCUCCGUUUUUUUCACCAAAACUAUCUCUGAUGGCAGGAAACUAAUGACCAUAACGUUUAAUGAUAUGAACCCCUUCCCUAUGAAGCUGCUGAAGACGAGACGAGAGUUUCACAUGGAGAGGCUGACAGCCGAGGUGCAGGAGCUGGAGAGGAUACAGGAGGAGUUUGUGAAAGAACAACAAGUGGAGCGCAAAGACAAGGACCUGGACACUGCUGUCAGCGAAGACGAAGAAGAAACAGAAGCAUUUAAUGAUAUGAAUCCCUUCCCUAUGAAGCUGCUGAAGAACAGACGAGAGUUUCACAUGUAGAGCCUGACAGCCGAGCUGCUGGAGCUGGAGAGGAUACAGAAGGAAUUUGUGAAAGAACAAGUGGAGCGCAAAGACAAGGACCAAGGACACGUUGAGAUUUUGUUUGUGCUUUUUUUGUUUACUAAAAAAUGUGAAGAGAAACGCUAUAAUAAAAAAUAAGAAUAAUGGAAAAAUGUGUUAAAAUAAAUUAUUUUUGUGAAGAAUGGAUUGUCUUUUGCACUCGAAUCAAUGUAUAAGGGCCUGUUGGCAACCAAUACAAGCUGCCUUUAUUUUCUCACGUGUUGCCAGGUUGAUUACCUGGUCAAAGACUAAACACAUACAUGUAAAACAUUUAGAACAUAUUUGUAUUCUGUAUUUGUAUAUUAUGAUAUUUUAUUGGAUUUUUUUAUGUACGUAUCAUUGCACAAUAGGGAGAAUUAACGAGAACAUAUCUAAUAUUUAGGCGUUCAUUUUUGUACUGCUGUUUUAUAAAGUGAUGGCAAUCUGAACUAUAGUCAAAGUCUCUCAAAGUGAAUUAUUAUUUUAGGAAAGUAUUACGGCACAAGCACUUAUAUAUUACCAGUGUCACUCUCCUCACAAGGUUAAACUGUGAAACCCAGAACAUACUUUAACUGGCUGAGAUGAGCCCUUUUCAAGGCAUUUUCUCUGCUGUAUAAUAUAACAGAACUUGUUUUUUGAUGAAAUGGUGUGCAUUUUUUGCAUCCUUUGUGUAAGGUAUUUGAACUGAAUAAACAUCAAAUACUGGUA